rnacentral:rRNA from 1 species
GACGAACGCUGGCGGCGUGCUUAACACAUGCAAGUCGAGCGGUAAGGCCCUUUCGGGGGUACACGAGCGGCGAACGGGUGAGUAACACGUGGGUGACCUGCCCUCAGCUCUGGGAUAAGCUUGGGAAACCGGGUCUAAUACUGGAUAUGACUCCAUGACGCAUGUUGUGGGGUGGAAAGCCUUGUGCGGCUGAGGAUGGGCCCGCGGCCUAUCAGCUUGUUGGUGGGGUGAGGCCUACCAAGGCGACGACGGGUAGCCGGCCUGAGAGGGCGACCGGCCACACUGGGACUGAGACACGGCCCAGACUCCUACGGGAGGCAGCAGUGGGGAAUCUUGCGCAAUGGGCGAAAGCCUGACGCAGCGACGCCGCGUGAGGGAUGACGGCCU